GCUCAGAGUGAACGCUGGCGGUAGGCCUAACACAUGCAAGUCGAACGGCAGCACAGUAAGAGCUUGCUCUUAUGGGUGGCGAGUGGCGGACGGGUGAGGAAUACAUCGGAAUCUACCUUUUCGUGGGGGAUAACGUAGGGAAACUUACGCUAAUACCGCAUACGACCUUCGGGUGAAAGCAGGGGACCUUCGGGCCUUGCGCGGAUAGAUGAGCCGAUGUCGGAUUAGCUAGUUGGCGGGGUAAAGGCCCACAUCCGUAGCUGGUCUGAGAGGAUGAUCAGCCACACUGGAACUGAGACACGGUCCAGACUCCUACGGGAGGCAGCAGUGGGGAAUAUUGGACAAUGGGCGCAAGCCUGAUCCAGCCAUACCGCGUGGGUGAAGAAGGCCUUCGGGUUGUAAAGCCCUUUUGUUGGGAAAGAAAAGCAGUCGGUUAAUACCCGGUUGUUCUGACGGUACCCAAAGAAUAAGCACCGGCUAACUUCGUGCCAGCAGCCGCGGUAAUACGAAGGGUGCAAGCGUUACUCGGAAUUACUGGGCGUAAAGCGUGCGUAGGUGGUUGUUUAAGUCUGUUGUGAAAGCCCUGGGCUCAACCUGGGAAUUGCAGUGGAUACUGGGCGACUAGAGUGUGGUAGAGGGUAGUGGAAUUCCCGGUGUAGCAGUGAAAUGCGUAGAGAUCGGGAGGAACAUCCAUGGCGAAGGCAGCUANCCNGGACCA
rnacentral:rRNA from 1 species